GUCGGUGGGCGUGUGGACUGUCGACCUGCCGCCAAUUUGGUGCUCUCUCUCGCUCUCGGGCCCAUCGCCCAGCACAACCCGCAAACCAAUAAAUGAGUGCCACCGCCGGAGCGAGCAAAUCGGUCGGGUCCGGCACGGCGCCAUCGCGUCCGUACGUGCACGUCUGCGCGCAGCGCGACGUCGUGCCGAGCCGCGAGCUCGCGAUCGCCUGUCCCCUUCGGCGGCGGCAGCAACAGCCGCGCGAGACCGCGAGCGCAUACUUGUGUCUCUAGAUUGCUGGCGGCAACAGACCAACAGCAGCGGCGCUGGCGGAGUCGCCAGUAGCUCUAGCUCCCCGCAGCGAUAGGAAGAAAGAAGGGAUGUUAGGCUGUCCGCAGUCGCGCGCUCCACGCAAAACUGUAUCGAGAUAGCGUUUACUCUUCAACUGCAGCGGUCAACUGUAUCCGUGACUGCACCGUCGCUGAGGCAUGGCAAAACUUCAAAUGUAGCGUUCUACCAGCGGCUGCGCUAUCCUCUCGACGUGGCUCCUCUCCGUUGGCGGCAUGCAAGGCAGCAGGAGCCUCGAGCACGCGGCGUAGGCGCUCUUCAUUGCCUCGCCGAGUUAUCCAUAGGGACCACGCUGCUGGAGAAAAUCUCAUCAAGCACCACUACUUCGGACCUAAUCCAGUGUAUCCACCACAUGUUUUUCGUCGAAGGUUUUGGAUGCAUCGUCCUUUGUUCCUACGUAUCCUUCGGGGCGUUCAGCGAGAAGGUGACUUUUUCACUAUUCGAUGUGAUGCAACAGGUUUAGCGGGGCUCAGUCCAUUGCAAAAAGUAUGUGCUGCUUUGCGUAUCCUAGCUUACGGGUUACCAACCGAUGCGGUUGAUGAGUACAUACAGAUUGGGCAGACUACGGCUAGGGACUGUCUGAUUCGUUUCUGUCGCGCAAUCAUAUCCUGCUUUAGCGAACGAUACCUCUGUAUCCCUAACCACGAAGACAUUGCUCGCAUACUUAGUUUAAACGCGGACAUGGGGUUUCCGGGUAUGCUAGGCUCCAUCGAUUGUAUGCAUUAGGAAUGGCGCAGCUAUCCUACUGCAUGGCGGGGACAGUUUUGUGGGCGCAAUUCGAGGCCAACAAUGAUACUAGAGGCAGUCGUUGGGUAUGACCUGUGGAUUUGGCAUGCCUUUUUCGGAAUGCCUGGUACUAACAAUGAUCUGAACGUGCUGCAUCGCUCACCUGUGUUUGAUCUGUUACGUAAUGGUACCAUGCCACCAGUGCACUUCACUAUUAAUGGUACCACGUACAAAUUCGGAUACUACUUGUCGGACCACCCCAGGGGACUAAUGUCCAUUCUCUAGCUUUGAUCCUGAGGUUGUCGGACCCGCAGGACUUAUAACUCUAGAUACUAAGUUCCCGUCACGGGGUGGUGGAGCAUGUAGGCCCACGGUACAGGACCUGGCUGAGCGGCUACACGGGCUCCGGACUACCCUAUGGAACGGGGUCCCGUUUUCUAGAGCCGGCCCCCAGGCUGUCGGACCUCCCCACUUUCGUGUCAGGGACCCUAAACUACAAGCCUAGCUAUUCAAUUCGGAUGUCUCCAUGUCAGACAGAUGGAACCCGUACGGGUGGGUUAGCUGAAAGGCAUUAUCUAAAAGACUGCAAGGUGGGACCAUGGAGCAGCA